ensembl:lncRNA
GACAACCUACAGGUUUAAAUAUUUAAUGGAACCAUUUGACAAGAGCCUUCUUUUAGGCCGUUAUGGAGAACGGGGGUGGGUGGGGAGUUUUACUUGUAAGCACAGUAUCAUCCUCUCCUCCCUUUACCCAAUUUUGUUGCAAAAAGACUUCUAUUCCCAAGUGCACCUGCUAAAGAAGUAAUUCCUGAAAUAUACGAGUCACGUGUGAAGAAGAAGAGCAAAUGAAGAGAGGAUUUCUUGAUAUUCUGGGGUGGAAAUCAUUCAUAAGUAAAUGCAUUCUUAAGGUGUAUUUAAUGAGUGGAACUCCUCUAAGCAACACCAUCCCUAACCUUUCUAAGUAAUCUGCAUGAAAAUGAUUCACAAAUGCUGGCGACUACAUCUACAUGUUAAAUUAAGCUAUCACAGCCAAAACAAAAGAGGCCAUAAUUUCGCUUACCUGAAGUAAAGAAGCAUAAUUACCUGUCAUAUCACAUCACAGAAGUUUGGUCUAAAUGUUACACCCGCAAUGAAUAUUUUUUCCACCAUUUCUUUACGCCAGCAACUCUGUUAGACAUGCAACUUCUUGGGCUUGCUGAACCAAAAAGUCUUGGUAUGGAGCCUAGAAAUCUGCAUUUUAAGCAGUCUUCUAGAUGAUUCUGAUGCAUGCAUAAGUCUGAGAUCCCACUCUUUUGAGCCAGGGCAGAACUUUGGUGUCCCUGAGUCCCUCGUUAUUAUUGAUUAGGAGACUUUGUAUUGUCCAGUGUACAUCACACUCAGGGCAUGAUAUGUUGGGAAAAAAGUGAUGAAAUAGUGAAUCUUUAACUUCCAGAUAUCCUGCAAACUGGUUAUGGUUUAAACUAUUUUUGACACUUUGUUUUAUUUUAAUGCAGAUGGCCACUCUCUGGUCAUUUUAUCUUAAAGUAGAUGCCUAGUAGAUCACUUGAAGGACUUUAUGCUAUUAAAAUGCAUUAAGUUCCCCAUCUUAAAAAGGCUGCAGUUUUCAUUGAUGUAAUAACAUCUGAACAUACUUGGCUUUAAACAAUAGAAGAAAAAGAAUAGACUUAUUCAAUGAAGUGCACCUGCACACAAGCAGAUUUUAUAGGUACACUGAGUUGAUGGCAAAUGAAACCUGCACACACUGUUCCAUCUUGAGCUACAUCAGUUAAUUUUUAAGUAAGUAAACAACUAUUUCAUGAAAAGGAUGUAAAAAUUUCUGGAGAGGGCACACAUUUUUAGUAGUACAUAUAUGAUGUUUAAAGAUUUUCCUUUCUAACAAUGAAGUUAGGAUGAAAUUGAAAAAUCUAAUGUCUGAUAAUUUACUGUGGAUUAAUAUUAAGGGAAGCUAAAAGCUAAUAUAUCUCUACCAGAAAAACAAAUCAUACCUGGGAUGUGAGCAUAAGGAAAUGGAUUUAAGGGUCAUGCUUGGAUUUCUGAGGGAGCACUCUAAUUUAUUUCUUGAAAGUACUGCUUUGAAAUCAAAUGACCUUCCUAAGGCAUAAAACUGAAAAAAAAAUUGAGAAUUGUGGGUCAUAUAAUUCUGACUCUUUUUAAAAAACUAUUCUUUGUUUAUCAAUAACAUUAAUCCUAAGUUACAUUGUUUUUAUUAAUAUAGUUUAUUAAACUUUAUUUUAGACUUUUAUUCUAACUCAUCAAUAUUUAAUAGCAGUAGAGUUUCACUGUCAUUAACUUUUUAAAAGGCAAGCAGCCAGCAAACACAUUCUGAUUAUCUGAUCUGUUAACAACCUUAAAACUCUCAUGGAAUCUAUUAUGGUAUCCCCUAUGAGUUCCUGUAGAUAUUAUUAUUGAUUUGUUCUUAGGUGAUGAGUUGUUUGAUUUUUUCCCCCCCUCACUGCUAUAUAAAAGGGUCUGGCAUGUGCUCACUAUUUAAUAGGUACUGUCUAAAUGAGUAAAUGAAUGGAUGAAUAAAUAAGUCAUGUCAGGCAUGUUUUAGCAUCAUCACUAAUUCUUACAUAACCUUGAAAGGUAGGCAUGAAGAGACUUCUCAGAACUCCAGUGAGUCAAAGACAUUUUAUAUGUAACAUCUGACCCCAGAUACUUUGGAUAACAACCCCCCUGCAUCUUCCUGCCCCAUUGUGUCACGUUGCCUCAAAAUCUUGUUGACUUUCCUCCCUUGGGCACAUGUCCUUUGGAUAACUUGGGGCUUAGACCGCCAACGAUUUGGAGAGUGCAUAGGAAUGACAUAUCCACUCAGCUGUCUGCUUGAUGGGUGUUAAGACUUCCUUCUGAUUCUGAGGGCGGUGGGGAGAGAGUGAUUGAGGAGAUGUCAAAGGGACUACAGAAAGGACAGCAUGCUCUGUGGUUUUCUAGUCAUGAUUUUGCCUAUUAUUGCUAGUUUAUUUUCGGUUACCAAUGUUAAGGUUCCUGAAAUACCAGCUUCUAUUUUUUUAGAGCAGCGGUUUUUCAUUUGAGGAAGGAAAGGAGGAUCGGUGAGUGAAAUGGUAUGAAAUCAUUUAUAUAUGCACCUAUAGAAGAAGAAUGUCCAUAGCCUUUACUGGAUGAUCAGUGGUGUCCGUAACUGAAGGGAACCCCCAAAUAGGCUAAGAACAAGUCCCUGAAAGAGUGGUCUUUGAAAAUUAAAUUAUGCCUCCAAGAGAAAUCAAGUUAUACUGAUGAUUAAUUGAAAACGAGGAAAUCCAGGAAUUUGAGAAAUUAUAUCAAAACCCACACAAUGCCCGAAUUUUCCUCGAUCGUUUUAAAACUGUUAUAAUAUAGUUCAAAAUAAACACUUCAUUUCUAUUAAACGGAUAGUUCCUGGAUACUUUUUAAUAAAUGGCACGGCAAUCCAGUUUCUACCAAUAUUUUUCUUUUCCUCCCCAAAGGGUUUCUCCCUGUCACAUUUCUUUUUAUGGAUAUAUCCUUGUCUUUAAAAAUAUUAGGUGGCUAUCCAGAGCCUGACCUAUAGAAAAUAUAACAAGAUAAUGUAGAUCAGAUUGUAUACACUUCUUUUAAACGUUAUGUGGCGCCCGCAGGCCUCUGGGUAGACAUUUGGGGCUGUGCCUUCAUUAACCCAUCUCAGAACUCGGUUUCAUUCUUUUUCACUCCUUUUUCCUUUACUGAAACUAAGUUGAGGUAAAAUUAUACAAAGCCAGGACUUUUGAAGGAUGUAUUUAUACAAAGUUUGAAUUUUCCACUUUUUCUCCUGUUUCUUUUGCCGAACUUUGCAUAUUUCACGCAUAUGUUGUGCACCUCUGAAAUGAUCAAUACUUUAAUUAAUGCAUCACUUGUUCCGCUUUGAAAACCUCAUUAGUCAGGUGAAAUCCACAGUUUUCAACAUAAUUGAGAAGUCUCAACUUCCUUUUUAAUCUUAUCUCCUCUCCGUUUUUUCCACUACAAGACUUCACAGGAAUAUUUCCUGAUGUCUUGUUAACAUCACAAACAUUACUUCCUAGGAUGAAAAUGCACCCUACUGUUUGCUCUUCUGGAACAAGAUUUUUCCAGCUGGGUUUCAUUUACCACCAGUUGAAUAGUUUUGUUUGAAGGAAAUUCUAAAGAUUUUAUAAUCAACUACGUUUGGAAAAUGCCAAAGGCCAUUUGGUUCUAGCCUGUUGGGGGUUCAUAUGUAUUUAUAAGUGCAAGAGGAUCUUACCGUUAAACAAAAUCUACAGAAGAUAAUAUGUAAGUUAUGAAACAUGGAGGGAUAACUAACCACCUAGAUCCUACUAUAUAACACAGAGAACUAUACUCAAUGUCCUAUGAUAAACGAUUAUGGAAAAGAAUAUUAAAAAAGGGUGUAUACAUAUAUAUGUAUGUAUAAAACAAAAUCACUUUGCUGUGCAGCAGAAAUUAACACAUCAUAAAUCGUCAAUGCUUCAAUUAAAAAAAAAAAGAAAAACAAAGGCUAUCCUCCAAAACCCCGUAUGAAUCUUAAAAUCCUGGAGAUUUCUUCAGUCUCCUUUGAAAGUGUUGUAUCUACAUAGCUAGCUGAUUAUUGCACUAAUUCCAUUUGCAUCUCUGUUCUACCAAUAAUAUAUCAGCUCCUCUUCGUUCCAUAUCUUACCCAAUUUAUGUUGCUAACUCAGAGCCUAUAACUAAAACCUCCUAAUAUCUGGUGUCAGUUUUACUUUUUUCAGAGGCAUGCUUAUCACCAUGGCUCCCGUGAACAAGUAAAAUCCAGCACACACUGUGCACCAUACUUCCAUCCUAAAUCCUUGUUUACUAACUUGUAGGUUGAAAACAAAAUGAAAAGAGUGGGUCAGUACCAGCCCAAGAUUUGUAAACAGUCCUUUACACCAUUUUCUCUGUGGAUUAUCAAUCAUAUUUAGGUGAGGGGCCGGAAUAAAGCAUAGGAUGUUGGAAUCACGUAAGAAGUUCAGCCAAAGCAUGUAGAGGCUGCAAACUUGACUUAGCAAGAUUUAGAUCAUACAUAUUCCUGUAAGUUCAUUCUAGUGUAUUUGAAAAAAAAGUAUUAGCCCACAAAUUCAUAUGGGAAGGAAUGAGGUAAAAGCCCUUCAUUCACCCUUGACAAAGAAAACAUUUGUAAAUUAUCAGAGGAAGAGUUAUUCCAAUACGGGGGAAUAGGUUGUCCUCUUUUAUACUGAUUUGUUAAGCGAUUAUUUAUAGUGUUUUGCCCCAAAUCAAAGCUCAUAAAUAUAUAACAACACCAACAACAAUAAAAACAGCAAUACAAUACUAGUAAUAAAGUAUAUUUUGUUUUUCAAACUAUGAGACCCGUUAAAACAUA